UCACUGCACAGCAGAUGAUGGCAAGGAGAACACAGACACAACCAUCUGACCACAGAAUGCACAGCAAAGGUCAUCUAUGGCACUGGACAUCGUUCCCUGGAGUGCAUCUUUGUUUGAUUCCCAUGUAACACGAGAUUUUAUUUCGAAGAAGAAAGGGAGCCCCCACUAGCAGACCCAAUUCAGUCUGGAAUUUAAACAACUGCAGUUUAUGGAAAGCAGUGAUGAAAAAAGCAGCCACUGGAGUGUUCAGGGGACAGUGAUUUCUAGCCAUCUAGUCAGGGUCAGGAGAACAAAAUUAGAAAUAAAUGCUCAUUAAAAGUAAACUUUAAGGACAAGGCAGUUGCUGGGAACACAACUGAGAACAUGCAGACCAGGGACAAAGACCCAAGAAUUUUAACAAACAACAGCUUAGGGCACAUGCAAAUAUUGGCCAGACACACUUCUGAGCAUGCAACAUCUGAGAUUUACUUAACACUGAGCAUUAGCAGAUUAAUCCAUUUGGUACCCAGCAUCACCACUUUGGGAGGCACUCACUACCUGGGUGUUGGUUUAAACACCAACAGCAAACACUGCCAGGCCAGAGAACCAACACGACUCCUCAGCACACAACCACACAGGGCAGAAACCUUAGAAAACUGGCAAGUGUUUUCUAACACUCUGGAAGUAAAUGAUAAUUUUUUCAGAUUCUUUUCUUGUAAAACACCUCACAAAUAGAGGCCUUCUACACAACAGAGCCAUUGCCAUCAAGCUGUGCCCAAAGUUUUGGAGUCAGCAGGUCAGAAAAAGGGAGACAAUGGCUUAGUUGGUUCACGGAUCCUGGAGUUUCACACAUUCAAGGUCACUGCAAAGCAUGCAAUGUUCUUCUCAUAGCUCUCUCAGAACUAAGAAGCAGCUCUCCAGACAGACUAUUAAAAAUAAUUUCCAAGUUAGUUCCAGAAUACAUUUUAAUAAUUUACCCUACAUAGGAUACAACAGGUCAAAUAAACAGAAAAACAUCUUGUCUGCAACUACUAGAGAACCAAAAACUAAAAACCUAUGAAGUCACUUUCAGUCUGCUGAAAACAGGGUCAGACACUGUUUCUACAACCUACCUCUAUGGACAAAUUGCUUCACAGACUUUUUUAACUUUUCAAAGGAAAAUGAACAAGGCAAAAUCUUAUAUCCAAUUAUAGAGGUAACAGCUUGCAUCCCAUUUUAAUUGUUAACUUCCCAGUUACAACACCCUGGUAAAGGGACACAGUUUGUACAAUAUCCUGAGGAUAAAGAAAUCCAAACACUCUUAUAACAGAUUUUAGAACCCUACAGCAAGAAAAUCUUUCAGUCUGACAUGGAAAAACCAAAUCCCAAGUGUGGGAUGAACACGUGAGAGAACUGCAGCACACAUAAAAGCCCUCACUCACAGAGCUGGGUGCUCCCAGCCAACCUUUCCUGCUACAAACACAAACAGAAGGCAAAUUUUUGCCACUAUAAACUAAAGACUCAUGGAAAUCGAGUUUAAGGUAACAGGCAUACAGAGCUACAGCAAGGAGCACAUCCAAAAGCCAUCAUAAUAACUCACUUUCAAAGCCAAGAGUAAUUUAAAUAGAAAGUUGAAAGAAAGUCAUUAAAAACUCAUCUAAAAGGUAACUUUUAAGGUCCAUUAGCCAUUUAAACACCAAGCUUCACAGUUUACAUUUGCAGAAAAUCCUGCAAGCAGCUGAUGUGUUUGGUAUAUGCCAUUCCUAAACCAUCUGGACACCCAAAUAUGCCAACUGGCCAAAUGGGUUAUCACUUCUCUGGUCAGGACUGUGAACCUUAUAUAAAACUCCUUAUAGGAUAAUGCCUUCUACACAUUAAAAAAUACAUGUUCUAUUUGCAUUACACAGAUUCACAGGUGUGUUCUUAAUUUAUCUUCCCAUUUUCUAAACAUAAUUCUGAAUAGAGAAAAACUGAGUGGAAAUGACAAAUGAAUUGGCACACGUGCCACACAGUCCCAAUCUAAUCUGUAGACACAAUUACUACUAUAAAUGAAUAAAUGCUCAUGUGUCAACAUUAUAUUUUAAAUCAGUUUGGAGGACUACAAAUUCCUGUUACUGAGCAGCUGGUGCAAGUUAGAAGCCAGUUAAAUUAUGAGAUUAAUUUUACUUUCCUGUCAGUCAAAUAAAGAUGAAAUAUACAACUUAGGAGCAUUCCAUGCUAAAAUAACCUGUUCUCAAAAACUGAUUCUAAAUUUCUGUUUUAUAUAGAAUUUUGCAAUAUGGGAGUUUCAGAUUAAUUAUAAAUUAUCCACCAAGUUAAAAACUCAAAAAUAACAUUGUAUUUUCUGAAUAAUUUCCUUUUAGAACAUACUAUCUUCAUGUUUAUACAAAUCUAAUGGAAUUCCAACUAUCUUGUAAUAAAAUAAAUUUGAAUUAAAACUUUCUGGUGUAUUAUUUCCUUAACAUUUCUUAAAUCCUGGAUCAGACUGUUUCCAAGGCUCAGUUUUCCCUCUUCUGUUUGAAAGUAACAGAUCAAAGUAUUGACACAAUGAACUUCAGAAACUGUGUGCAAAGUUACAAUGCACAAAGUUAUCUUCUGCAUAGAGCAAUCUUCAGCAGAUUAGCAGAGAGAGGCAAAGGCUAAAGGCACACAGCCUGAACAGCAACUUAUCUCUUUCAAGUUAGUUGGGUCUUCACAAAACCACCAAGAUUUGUAUGUUUGGAGCAGCAGAUUCUGCAGGAUUUUUCAUAAACUAGGGCCAAAUACACAACUACUAAAAGUCCACUCAGAGGCAAACAACUACACCAUAACAUUGCUACUCUACUUAGCUAAUAAAUAUCAACUAUUUCAAGAAGUAAGUUGGAAGAACUCAGUUAUUUCAGACUACAUCAAUAGGUCCACAUCUUAACAUGCUAUUUAUUUUAACAGGAAAAAAAAGAAUUGGCUUAAAUGCUAAAUCAGCUCCUAAAUCAAGAAGACAUGAAGAUACCCAAGUUUUUGCAACGUGAAAAUCUAAGUACUACUCUUCUAACAGUACCCUUCAGAUGAAAAAAUACAUAGGUUAUGCGUAGGAAUCAUGAGGAUGAAGGGAUGCUGGCUUGGUUAGCUAGCAACCUUGCUGAACUAAAAUUUUUAGUAAUUAAAGUUAAGGAACUUAGAGGAGUACAAAGAGGACAUGACUGCUUCAGAGUUGGAAAUAAAAUCUGGUGAUGUGAAGACUACCCUCACACAACAACGACAUUAUCAUAGUUACUGAAAUGAUAAAUUUUACAUUACACACAUUUGACACCUGGUUCACAGCAAAACCAUUCUUUCAAGCAGAAAAACUUUUCAGGACUAUCAAGUGUAAAGCAGAAGUCCUUUAAAACACAUAUAAAGUUAUCCUAAACGUCCACUCCAGCUCUCCAGCUUUUUAUCUGCUGUCCAACUACACCAUCACAGGGUAACUCACCGUGACCGCCGCUCUCCCCAGGACAAAACCAGUAACUCACCCAACAACAGCUGCAAUUACUCUGCAUUAGCCGUACCAGUUACACCCUAAUUAGCGGCAGCCGGUUCGUCAGACGGUGCCCUCAGACAGGUGCCUCUUCUUCGGUUUCCAGCAGGUCGAGCAGCAGGGAACAUGACAGCUUUGGGGGAAAGGAAAGCCCUCGGCCAAGAGCAGAAGCUGGGAUCCACAGCUGCUGCCCCAGCCGGACCAGAAUGGCUGCAGUGUUACAGUUUCCUAACGGGGACGCUGUUUCAGAAGAUUUGGAAAACAAAAAUAGGCUCUUUGCACGGCCAGAACAGCUGCCCUGGCGUGCUGCUCCCUCGGCACCCUCGUGGGAAAUUCAAGUGUCUUCGAGAGGACCCUGCAAAUACAAACAUUUUCCAGUAUGAAUGACACACAAGGGGUAAGCAUGGAUUUGUGAUCCCGGCAGCAGCUUGGGUUCCAGAUCUGUUUGUGCCAGCCUGCAAACUGGGAUGUACUGGAGCUGCUGCUCAGCUCUGAAAUGGUGAAUCAUUCCUUAUUUUGUGAUCUCUCAGUGUUUUCCAAAAACCUGCAAAACGUGCCUCAGUGGAUAAGACAUUGAACUGCUCCAUGCACUGGUGGGAAGGAGCAAGGGGCUGGCUCAGCUCCUCUCCAUUCCUGGCUCAAUCUGCUCGGUCGUACCGUGGAUGACUCACUGGGGUCACAAGACCAAACUGCUCCUGGCUGCUCUGUUUCCUCUCAAAGGAGGUUUCAUUUUUAUUCAGGGUAGUUCUUCCUGAUUGUCCUUUAGGAGCAAGUUCAGGAUGCAUCAAAAGAAACCUUGAAAAUGCAUUAAAUAUAGGUGGUACCAGUUUAAUUAGGAUAAGUUUAAAUGUCUCCUGAAAUUCAACCAGUGCAUAUUUCUUCAAGAAAGUAGCCAGUGAAAAUACUGAAGGUCCAAAGGCGUGGUAGGGUGUAUGAGCAGGAGAUGGUGCAGUGCAUAAAUGGGAAAGUACAGUAGUGUUUAUGAAAAGCAGCAUUAAAUGUGCACAACAGAUCUAUACAUCAAAAACUUGCUUAGAAAAUGAGCAUUGCUUUAGUGGAUUGAGUGCUACAGCUAAAUAAAACUUGGAUUUUUAACAAAUGCUUCUACCUGGAAGUUUAAUUAAAACGUGGUAGAUAUUAAAAUUCAAUCUGCUAUUGUGCAAAUAUAAAGAAUAAUUAAUUGGGUUGGAAAAAUAGAAAUCUAUCCAGUAUUACUUUUGUAUGAGUCACAGACUUUAUUGACUUUAUCAGAGAAAAUUCCAUGCAGUCCUCACUUACUUGCCCUGCUCGUGAACUUUGUUUGCAUGCAACCAUCUCCAGAGUUUUCACAAGAGAAUGGAAAACUAGACAUAUGAUUCUGCAAUUAGCCCUGACCAUGGAGCAAAUUUUAGU